rnacentral:rRNA from 1 species
UACGAAGGGAGCUAGCGUUGUUCGGAAUCACUGGGCGUAAAGCGCACGUAGGCGGAUGUGUCAGUCAGGGGUGAAAUCCCGGAGCUCAACUUCGGAGCUGCCCUUGAUACAGCACAUCUGGAGUCCGGAAGAGGUGGGUGGAAUUCCUAGUGUAGAGGUGAAAUCCGUAGAUAUUCGGAAGAACACCAGUGGCGAAGGCGGCUCACUGGCCCGGUACUGACGCUGAGGUGCGAAAGCGUGGGGAGCAAACAGG